AACGCAUUCAUCAUACUUUUGACAGCCUUAAAAAGGGAAGUCAAAUCAUUCAUGCAAUGUCUCUAUACACGGUUCCCCUUUUCUGCUCGAGACAGAGACGGGGAGCGGUGGCUCGUCAUGUAUGUUAGGCCGACUUAUUGCAGGAAUGCUCCCCUGUGGGAGGCCUGUGUUUCCCCUCAGAGUGUCCAUACAGACCCCCCUUCUAACUGCCCUUAUCCUAUACGGGCUAAUCUAACCGCAUAUCUCCACAUCCCUCAGGGCUGGCAAACCAGCUGAGCACACACAGCCAUCGUUUGGUUUCGUCGACGUUUUACGUAGGAAAUGAUUCUCUUUCGCUCUUUCCGUGUCCAAAGUCCAGGCCAGAUGUUGGUUCUCACAGGAGGCGAGCGGACGCUCCCCCCUCGGCAAUUGCGGUCAUGACACGCAAGGAUAUAUGACCUGACGCCCCACCCGUGUCUCCAUAGUUCUGUCGUUACCCUUCAGCUGGCGCCUUAUCUCAGCUUAUCAUGGGACUCGGGAUGCAGGGAAGAUCAUCCGUGGGUCUCGGAGGCCCGGCUGCUCGGGUUUCAGGUGCAAAUGGCUUCAGCGACGGGGCCCGGGGAACCGCCUGCCUCCCACCGUGUGAGCGGAUCCUGCACGGACACGUACACCGCCGUGUUUGUGCACCUCCACGACAUUUCCACCGCUGCACAUCUGCCGCGGAACCACAACUGAAAGUCGCUGAAAUGAGCUCUUGUGGUGACUUGUUGGGAUCAAACCUGAUUAUCGGAUGACAUCGCGGUAAAUCCUCGUCCUCGCAUGGCGUCCCUCAAAUUAAAAACCUCUUCCCCUGGUUUCUCACGCAACAAGAAUGA
ensembl:lncRNA